rnacentral:rRNA from 1 species
ACUCCUACGGGAGGCAGCAGUGGGGAAUCUUGGACAAUGGGGGCAACCCUGAUCCAGCCAUGCCGCGUGAGUGAUGAAGGCCUUAGGGUCGUAAAGCUCUUUCGCCUGUGAUGAUAAUGACAGUAGCAGGUAAAGAAACCCCGGCUAACUCCGUGCCAGCAGCCGCGGUAAUACGGAGGGGGUUAGCGUUGUUCGGAAUUACUGGGGCGUAAAGCGCGCGUAGGCGGAUUAGUCAGUUAGAGGUGAAAUCCCAGGGCUCAACCCUGGAACUGCCUUUAAUACUGCUAGUCUUGAGUUCGAGAGAGGUGAGUGGAAUUCCGAGUGUAGAGGUGAAAUUCGUAGAUAUUCGGAGGAACACCAGUGGCGAAGGCGGCUCACUGGCUCGAUACUGACGCUGAGGUGCGAAAGUGUGGGGAGCAAACAGGAUUAGAUACCCUGGUAGGAUAGCG